AUGGGUAGUUCUAUUCUUCAUAGAACUAGUAGUCUUGCGGAUGCUAUCGCCAUGCUUGUAGUUGAACUUGAAAGGCAAUUUAUGCACAUGCAUCCUUGCAUACAAAGGAUAUUCCUAGAAUUUUCUAAUAUUGAGAAUUCUUCUGUUAAGCGUGCCGCGACUAUCUUUUUGGCUCAUGAGUUCAGAUUUAUAAUAAAAGAGGCCAAAGAAAUCUUUGCGCACUAUAGGGUGGACGCUGGCCGUCCUCCCAUAGAGGCUAUCCUCUUUGAUCAAGAGGAAAUAAUGUGUUUUCAAUCACUAGACUAUGUUGCUUUUAAUGAAAACCUUAGAAAAAGAGUUCCUACCAAUGUUCUAGUUGAUAGAAUUUCUGAACAUAAUAAUGAUUUUGUUAUUCGUAAUAAUGAGCUAGGAUAUUCUCUCGAGUUUAGGCUCACGAAGUUCUGUCAGAAAAAUGCUUAUAAUGAUGAAUUGGUUGUGCAAUACGAAGGGACGAAGGAGGAACCUAUACCUCCCGAAGUUGAUCUUGGGGACUUCUGUCCCAUUAAAUUUAGCCCUUUUGAUUACUUUUGCUUGCCUCAAAGAAAACUUGCUGCUGAACGUAGAGAAUAUGAAAUGUGUUUUCGUGAGCUAUCAUAUUAUUAUGGCAAUACCUAG
rnacentral:rRNA from 1 species